GAUGAACGCUAGCGAUAGGCUUAACACAUGCAAGUCGCGGGGCAGCACAAGGUAGCUUGCUAUCUGGGUGGCGACCGGCGCACGGGUGCGUAACGCGUAUGCAACUUGCCCUAUACAGGAGGAUAACCCGUCGAAAGACGGACUAAUACUGCGUAUGCUCACAACUUGGCAUCAAGUGGUGAGGAAAGAAAUCCGGUAUAGGAUAGGCAUGCGUCCCAUUAGCUUGUUGGUGAGGUAACGGCUCACCAAGGCAACGAUGGGUAGGGGAACUGAGAGGUUUAUCCCCCACACUGGUACUGAGACACGGACCAGACUCCUACGGGAGGCAGCAGUGAGGAAUAUUGGUCAAGGGGCGCGAGCCUGAACCAGCCAAGUCGCGUGAAGGAUGACUGUCUUAUGGAUUGUAAACUUCUUUUAUACGGGAAUAACAAGAGUCACGUGUGACUCCCUGCAUGUACCGUAUGAAUAAGCAUCGGCUAACUCCGUG
rnacentral:rRNA from 1 species